CCCUCUUUGCUUCAAAAUUUUAUUUCUUCACCCUUUUGUAGUUGAUUGUUAUGAAUGAAUUGACUCACCUUAUAUAAAGAAGGCUUGGCAUUUUUGGACACUAAGUGAAUCAAUGACCUUAGUAGGAAAAGGCUAAAAGCUCACUAUGACAACAUACUAUCAAAGAAAUUGAGCUGACUCACUCAUUAUAGAAGUACCUACCUGAACAUAUCACCCUACAUAAUAAAAAAAACUUUAACAUUCACAAAGUAUAUACAAAAGUAAAAUGCUAUAAUCGAACAUUUGUAAAAGUCCUUGUUUAAAACUAUUAUUAAUUUCAAGAUAUUUCUAUUAUUUGAGAAAGUACCUAAGCGACUUGGGGCCUAUUAUUUGAAAAUAUUUAUAUUUUACACUUUGUAGUAGGAAGUGAGUUAGAUUCAUGAGUACACUCGCUUGGAAAGAAGGCAGUUGUGGGCAUAACAUUACAUGAGACAAUAAGAAAAAUGUAAGUUUCAAAAUUAAUCCACAACUAGUCAAUGAUGCCAUACAACAAAUUGUUGAGGUGAUUCAUUUAAACCAUUUUUGACCAUUACUACCUUAAAAUAAAAUUAA
rnacentral:lncRNA from 1 species